rnacentral:rRNA from 1 species
AUUGAACGCUGGCGGCAGGCCUAACACAUGCAAGUCGAGCGAGCGGCGGACGGGUGAGUAAUGUCUGGGAAACUGCCUGAUGGAGGGGGAUAACUACUGGAAACGGUAGCUAAUACCGCAUACCAUCGGAUGUGCCCCGGUGGGAUUAGCUAGUAGGUGGGGUAACGGCGCACCUAGGCGACGAUCCCUAGCUGGUCUGAGAGGAUGACCAGCCACACUGGAACUGGGACCCGGUCCAGACUCCGAAGGGCGGCAGCAGUGGGGAAUAUUGCACAAUGGGCGAAAGCCGGAUGCCGCCAUGCCGCGUGUGUGAAGAAGGCUUUCGGGUUGUAAAGCACUUUCAGCGUGGAGGCGUUACCCGCAGAAGAAGCACCGGCUAACUCCGUGCCAGCAGCCGCGGUAAUAC